rnacentral:rRNA from 1 species
UACGUAGGGUGCAAGCGUUGUCCGGAAUUAUUGGGCGUAAAGAGCUCGUAGGCGGUUUGUCGCGUCUGCUGUGAAACCUCGGGGCUUAACCCCGGGCCUGCAGUGGGUACGGGCAGACUAGAGUGCGGUAGGGGAGACUGGAAUUCCUGGUGUAGCGGUGAAAUGCGCAGAUAUCAGGAGGAACACCGGUGGCGAAGGCGGGUCUCUGGGCCGUAACUGACGCUGAGGAGCGAAAGCGUGGGGGAGCGAACAGG